rnacentral:snoRNA from 1 species
ACGCACUGUUAAGUGACUGGAUUGUCUUUUCAUGAUCUUUCGGUCUCAUUCCAGUGCAAGAUAAACUCCCUUUUAGCAGAAGGACCUUACCUUUUCCUGCACGUCUGGUUCUUUCGAAGACUGGGAACAUUU